rnacentral:rRNA from 1 species
GAGUUUGAUCAUGGCUCAUCCCUGAACGCUGGCGGCGUGCUUAACACAUGCAAGUCGAACGGGGUCCAUGGAGCUUGCUCCGGAAGACCUAGUGGCGAACGGGUGCGUAACACGUGAGGAACCUACCCCGGACUCUGGGAUAACAGUUGGAAACGACUGCUAAUACCGGAUGUCAUCGCAGCGUCGCAUGGCGCCGCGAUGAAAGGUCCGCCGGUCUGGGAGGGCCUCGCGGCCUAUCAGCUAGUUGGAGAGGUAACGGCUCACCAAGGCAUCGACGGGUAGCUGGUCUGAGAGGAUGAUCAGCCACACUGGGACUGAGACACGGCCCAGACUCCUACGGAGGCAGCAGUGGGGAAUCUUGCACAAUGGGCGAAA